GUCUAGCUCAGUCGGUAGAGCAUGGGACUCUCAGGGCUGUGGGUUCAAGCCCCCAUGUUGGACA